rnacentral:tRNA from 1 species
AAGAAAGUCAUAGUGGUUAUGGGGCUGGCUUGAAACUAGUCUUGGGAAGUUCGAUUCUUUCCUUUCUUG